rnacentral:rRNA from 1 species
GAUGAACGCUGGCGGCGUGCCUAAUACAUGCAAGUCGAGCGAACGGACGAGAAGCUUGCUUCUCUGAUGUUAGCGGCGGACGGGUGAGUAACACGUGGAUAACCUACCUAUAAGACUGGGAUAACUUCGGGAAACCGUAGCUAAUACCGGAUAAUAUUUUGAACCGCAUGGUUCAAAAGUGAAGGACGGUCUUGCUGUCACUUAUAGAUGGAUCCGCGCUGCAUUAGCUAGUUGGUAAGGUAACGGCUUACCAAGGCAACGAUGCAUAGCCGACCUGAGAGGGUGAUCGGCCACACUGGAAUUGAGACACGGUCCAGACUCCUACGGGAGGCAGCAGUAGGGAAUCUUCCGCAAUGGGCGAAAGCCUGACGGAGCAACGCCGCGUGAGUGAUGAAGGUCUUCGGAUCGUAAAACUCUGUUAUUAGGGAAGAACAUAUGUGUAAGUAACUGUGCACAUCUUGACGGUACCUAAUCAGAAAGCCACGGCUAACUACGUG